rnacentral:rRNA from 1 species
UACGGAGGGUGCAAACGUUAAACGGAAUUACUGGGCGUAAAGCGCACGUAGGCGGUCCGUUAAGUGGGGUGUGAAAGCCCUGGGCUCAACCUGGGAAUUGCAUUCCAAACUGACGGGCUAGAGUGUGGUAGAGGGGGGUAGAAUUCCCUGUGUAGCGGUGAAAUGCGUAGAUAUAGGGAGGAGUACCUGUGGCGAAGGCGGCCCCCUGGACCAACACUGACGCUGAGGUGCGAAAGCGUGGGGAGCAAAC